UUAAGUUAUUAAGGGCGCACGGUGGAUGCCUUGGCACUAGAAGCCGAUGAAGGACGUUACUAACGACGAUAUGCUUUGGGGAGCUGUAAGUAAGCUUUGAUCCAGAGAUUUCCGAAUGGGGAAACCCAGCAUGAGUUAUGUCAUGUUAUCGAUAUGUGAAUACAUAGCAUAUCAGAAGGCACACCCGGAGAACUGAAACAUCUUAGUACCCGGAGGAAGAGAAAGAAAAUUCGAUUCCCUUAGUAGCGGCGAGCGAAACGGGAAGAGCCCAAACCAACAAGCUUGCUUGUUGGGGUUGUAGGACACUCUAUACGGAGUUACAAAGGACGACAUUAGACGAAUCAUCUGGAAAGAUGAAUCAAAGAAGGUAAUAAUCCUGUAGUCGAAAAUGUUGUCUCUCUUGAGUGGAUCCUGAGUACGACGGAGCACGUGAAAUUCCGUUGGAAUCUGGGAGGACCAUCUCCUAAGGCUAAAUACUCUCUAGUGACCGAUAGUGAACCAGUACCGUGAGGGAAAGGUGAAAAGCACCCCGGAAGGGGAGUGAAAUAGAACCUGAAACCGUGUGCUUACAAGUAGUCAGAGCCCGUUAAUGGGUGAUGGCGUGCCUUUUGUAGAAUGAACCGGCGAGUUACGAUUUGAUGCAAGGUUAAGCAGUAAAUGUGGAGCCGUAGCGAAAGCGAGUCUGAAUAGGGCGUUUAGUAUUUGGUCGUAGACCCGAAACCAGGUGAUCUACCCUUGGUCAGGUUGAAGUUCAGGUAACACUGAAUGGAGGACCGAACCGACUUACGUUGAAAAGUGAGCGGAUGAACUGAGGGUAGCGGAGAAAUUCCAAUCGAACCUGGAGAUAGCUGGUUCUCUCCGAAAUAGCUUUAGGGCUAGCCUCAAGUGAUGAUUAUUGGAGGUAGAGCACUGUUUGGACGAGGGGCCCCUCUCGGGUUACCGAAUUCAGACAAACUCCGAAUGCCAAUUAAUUUAACUUGGGAGUCAGAACAUGGGUGAUAAGGUCCGUGUUCGAAAGGGAAACAGCCCAGACCACCAGCUAAGGUCCCAAAAUAUAUGUUAAGUGGAAAAGGAUGUGGCGUUGCCCAGACAACUAGGAUGUUGGCUUAGAAGCAGCCAUCAUUUAAAGAGUGCGUAAUAGCUCACUAGUCGAGUGACACUGCGCCGAAAAUGUACCGGGGCUAAACAUAUUACCGAAGCUGUGGAUUGUCCUUUGGACAAUGGUAGGAGAGCGUUCUAAGGGCGUUGAAGCAUGAUCGUAAGGACAUGUGGAGCGCUUAGAAGUGAGAAUGCCGGUGUGAGUAGCGAAAGACGGGUGAGAAUCCCGUCCACCGAUUGACUAAGGUUUCCAGAGGAAGGCUCGUCCGCUCUGGGUUAGUCGGGUCCUAAGCUGAGGCCGACAGGCGUAGGCGAUGGAUAACAGGUUGAUAUUCCUGUACCACCUAUAAUCGUUUUAAUCGAUGGGGGGACGCAGUAGGAUAGGCGAAGCGUGCGAUUGGAUUGCACGUCUAAGCAGUAAGGCUGAGUAUUAGGCAAAUCCGGUACUCAUUAAGGCUGAGCUGUGAUGGGGAGAAGACAUUGUGUCUUCGAGUCGUUGAUUUCACACUGCCGAGAAAAGCCUCUAGAUAGAAAAUAGGUGCCCGUACCGCAAACCGACACAGGUAGUCAAGAUGAGAAUUCUAAGGUGAGCGAGCGAACUCUCGUUAAGGAACUCGGCAAAAUGACCCCGUAACUUCGGGAGAAGGGGUGCUCUUUAGGGUUAACGCCCAGAAGAGCCGCAGUGAAUAGGCCCAAGCGACUGUUUAUCAAAAACACAGGUCUCUGCUAAACCGUAAGGUGAUGUAUAGGGGCUGACGCCUGCCCGGUGCUGGAAGGUUAAGAGGAGUGGUUAGCUUCUGCGAAGCUACGAAUCGAAGCCCCAGUAAACGGCGGCCGUAACUAUAACGGUCCUAAGGUAGCGAAAUUCCUUGUCGGGUAAGUUCCGACCCGCACGAAAGGCGUAACGAUUUGGGCACUGUCUCAACGAGAGACUCGGUGAAAUCAUAGUACCUGUGAAGAUGCAGGUUACCCGCGACAGGACGGAAAGACCCCGUGGAGCUUUACUGUAGCCUGAUAUUGAAAUUCGGCACAGCUUGUACAGGAUAGGUAGGAGCCUUUGAAACGUGAGCGCUAGCUUACGUGGAGGCGCUGGUGGGAUACUACCCUAGCUGUGUUGGCUUUCUAACCCGCACCACUUAUCGUGGUGGGAGACAGUGUCAGGCGGGCAGUUUGACUGGGGCGGUCGCCUCCUAAAAGGUAACGGAGGCGCUCAAAGGUUCCCUCAGAAUGGUUGGAAAUCAUUCAUAGAGUGUAAAGGCAUAAGGGAGCUUGACUGCGAGACCUACAAGUCGAGCAGGGUCGAAAGACGGACUUAGUGAUCCGGUGGCUCCGCAUGGAAGGGCCAUCGCUCAACGGAUAAAAGCUACCCCGGGGAUAACAGGCUUAUCUCCCCCAAGAGUUCACAUCGACGGGGAGGUUUGGC
rnacentral:rRNA from 1 species